rnacentral:piRNA from 1 species
UGACUACUUGAGGAACUCCCUAAUGCUUCC